AUCUCAGGUCCUUUCUAUGGGAAGCCUCUCUGUUUACAUGGACAAUGCAGAUGAACCUCAUAAUGUAAUCAUCUUAAAACAUUUCACUGAAAAGAACAGAGCUGUUGUGGUUGAUACGAAGACCCGAAAGAGGAAAACAGUGAAAGCUUACCAGC